AUUUAUGAAGAUUUUUGUUUUUGUGCUAAAUGCCAUUGUGCCUUAUUAGUUAUAAAAAGAACUCCAGAGAAUCCCAUGAGUAGGCCCUGAAUAAGAACUAUCAAAUUCUAAUUAUGAGCUAUAGAAAUCUAGUGGCUUAAAUAGUUGACACUACUUCCAACUGUUCUCAUGUAACAUAUGAUAAUUUGCCUUUGUGACUGUUGAUUCUUUCUGAAAAGGAGCUUAUACAGUUAAGCCUAACCCCCUAGUGUAAUGCGGGAUAUUUUACUCACGAAGAAAAAUUAUGGAGGCUACUUGAGGUGAAAUAAGGAGAAAAUUCAGAUUUUAGGCUCUUUGUGUGUGUGUGUUUGUGUGAGCUUUUUUUGUGUUGGUGGUGGAAAAAUAUGAGUUCUAAGCGCAUAUAGCAAGGAUAUGAUUAUUUUACUUGUUCUCCUUAUCCUCUCCCUCCCCCUAGUCUACUGCUCCAUUUACUCUUUUGUAGGACAUAAGCAUGCAUUCUUUUAUGUAAGUGUAUUUGUCUGAAGUGUCUUAGAUAUCAGCACAUGCUAAUUAUAUUUGUCUAAAGAAUGAAAACUCAUGAGGAGAAGUUAAAGCACCAGUUGGAUAACAUUCCUGUUUUUUGUUUUUAAUGUUUUGAGAUGAACGAGAAAAAGAUAAAAGGGAUGAAAGAGGUAAAUUUGGAGAGCAGAUGGAAUUACAACUAAACUUAAAAAUCAUUUACAGCUGUUUUUGUUUUAAUUGUAAAAACCAUAAUGUAUUUUAUUCAUUGCUCCUGCACCUCGCUCAUCUCUUUUCUUUUUUUUUGGGUAUUUGGUUUUAAUUGUAUAGGUCAUUUUUUUUAAUCAGUGAAUUGGUUAUUGAGCUAUCAAACAGUUGGAUUAGGCGCCAAGUUUAGUUGGUUCAGUAUGUAGUUGUACAAUUGGGCUGUAAUUGGUGUGAUUUGUAAGAUUGUUUUGGAAUUAAUUCAAUAGUACAUUCAUACAGAGUUUAGGGUUUGGUUUGAACGGGGUUCUAUCAAUUGGUAUCAGAGCCAGGUUUCACUUCGCAAUCCAAUUCCUAAAAAGGAACGACUAUAGGCUGGAUUUAAUUGCCAUUGAAUAAAAUAUAUACUUGUUAUUGACCGUGCAAAAGUCUCUUAGACUGUGCAAGGAUAUCUUGAGGGGAAUGCUCUGCUUUGUAACUCACAUGUGACCUUGUUUUCCUUACAAGUCUAAUACACUUAUUUUACGUUUGGGCCUUGAGUCCCUAGAGUUGGUGGGUUUGAGAGGCCACAAAAGGGUUCCAAAAGUACUAUAAUUGAAAGCUGUAUUGCUUUAUGUGUCUCUACCAUUUGUUGCUGCUGCUGAUAUACCUUGAAGUUUUCAUGUGCAGGAUGAGAUUAUUGAAGUUGCGUGAGGUAUGCUUAAUCGGCUAAUACUAGUUUUGAAUGGCAUUUGACUUAGGCUUCUACCAGGCAUUGUUGGAAAAUCCAGUUAGUUUUUGCAUUUGUUAACUUUUUUACUUCUCUUGUGUUUGCUCUGCCUAUCUUUUGUCUAGAGAUAGUUUUAAUAUCUCAGGAUUUUUCCUUUAACUGGCUAUGCAAUCUUAGGGUAUGGCUUUCUUGGGUUGUAGUACUCUGCUAUCCUAGCCUGGUCAUGAUGUUUCACUACUAGUGGUAGCUCUAUAGGAAAUCCAGGCCCAGUCAGAGCAGAGUGCCUGGUUUGCAUGCUCAAAGAGAUAGGGCUGGAGAACAUGGCAGGGGUUUGGCGUAAGCACAUAGACAAGGUAUGGCUCCAUUGGAUUGGUUCUGCAACAGUGAAACUACCCUUGUUGGGGCACUUUGCAGAUUGCUGAGCUCUGCUGUAUCCAUGCUUUGGAUGAAGGCAACAUUUGCUCCUGUGGUUUGGCUAAUCUUCGUCUUGGUAACAGUUUUUGUAUCCUCUGUCUUAGCUGCUACCUGGGGUUUUAGUGCCAUUUGUUUUCCCUUGACAAUCCAUUCUUCAUGAAACGUGUGUAGACGCACUGGCAUGUAGACAGGUGUUGCAUAGUUUUGGUGCAUCAAUAAAUGGGCAGUCACAUUCUUUCUAGUGGAUUUGCAAGGUGCAACUGACCUAAAUCUUCAUCAUGAACCGGAAAGCUAUCUCAAAUCAGAGUAGACAAUGAGAGGAUCCUUGUAAUUCUUUAAGAAAGUCGUCGCCAUAAUGACUUGGUCAUUGUAAGGAGUGCAGCUAUGCUGAAACAUGUCCCUUUCCGAAAAUUUAAAGCUGCACCAACAUUUUGGAGUCUUUUACUAGUCCCAAUCUCAAUCACUGUGCCCAUGUGGGUAAAAAGGGUUUCCUAUCUGGUGGUGGAUUCCCAGAGUGUAGACCCUAAUCCGAACACCUUUGAGAACACCUUUGAAUGUGCAGCCAUUAAGUUUUAUGGCCAGAGCAAUAAUGUAUAUGGAGGUUGUGUUAUGUAAGGGUGUGUGGAGGAUUUCGUUUUUCGAAGAUGAGAUUCUUUUUUCCGGAGGAUUUUGCAAUCUGAACUCCUUUGAAUAUGCAGCCUAUUCCAAAUCGUGUAAAUUUUUCUAAAGCUGCAAGUGUUAGGGCCAGAGCAAUAAUGUAAAAUGGAGGUUGUAACUUGUAUUUAUGCAAGGGUGUAUGUGAGGAUUUCUUUGUUUGAAA